UACUUGGCACUGGAAGGACUGCCAGCAGCAAGACAGAAUGGGCGGACAGAGACGGCACUGAAUCAACAGCCCACGUGGGAAGACACAUGAGAAGACUGAAACAAGGAGUGUUGUGCACAGGUCAUGUGACAAGUCAGCGUUAGAGAUUUCUCCCAGCAAAAAACAACAACGAAAAACAUUUUCCUUCACUUAUGCGUUGUGCCUCCUGCAUGCUGCAGAAGAGAAGAAGAGGUUACACAGAGGACCAGAUCAGAGAGACCUUGGAAGAUGGCAGGUGGGAAUCAGCAUCUACCUAACUUCUUUGUGAUUUGCCUUCCUGCUGCUGCAGAGAUUGAAACCUGCAAUGACUCUCCCAAGUUCUCCGGCAGGAGCAACAGAUAUUCUGGUUUUGAGUCACCGCCGUUCCGAGAAUCAGCAAGAAGGGCUUUGGGGAUUCAUUGGUCAACUCUGGAACUGGCAGCAAGCUGAGCAGUUUUUAUCCACCAUGCCUUUCCACCAUGAAAUUUCUGCCUUGGAGUCAGCCAGCCAACCCUGAACUGAACCUCUGAAACUGUGAGCUCAAAAUAAACUUUUCC